rnacentral:lncRNA from 1 species
GUUUAUAUACUUUCUCUGCUCCCACUCAUCAGCGGACAUUCCAUUCUAAGCCCUUCAAAGGGACAAGGUUUCUAUGAUUCUGUUUUUCUUCUUUGUGGGAAGGAUUCCUCCCCGACAGGAGCUUAGCAGCAGCUAAGAAACGUGACCCCAAGGUCACAUUCAAAUUAGAACUCAGUAAAACCCCAGGGUUUGUUGCUUUCUGGCUCUAAAGGAAACUCAGAAUGACAACGGUGGCUGGAUAUUCUACCGUAGGUCUCCCCUGCUGAUCUCUGCUGCUUUCAAGCCUCAAAGAUGCCAGGUGCCUGGGUUUUCUUGUUUUUCUUUUUGACUUUCAAAACUUUUCUUUAACGGUGAAGGAAAAUGAUACUAUGUUACACUAGUUUAAAGCUUUUAACAUUGUUUUCAAAAAAAUUCUAGAAAACUAUUUAACAGGGGGUAAAU